AUUGAACGCUGGCGGCAGGCUUAACACAUGCAAGUCGAACGAGCGGCGGACGGGUGAGUAAUGUCUGGGAAACUGCCUGAUGGAGGGGGAUAACUACUGGAAACGGUAGCUAAUACCGCAUACCAUCAGAUGUGCCCAGAUGGGCUUAGCUAGUAGGUGGGGUAAUGGCUCACCAAGUCGACGAUCUCUCGCUGGUCUGAGAGGAUGACCAGCCACACGGGAACUGAGACACGGACCAGACUCCUACGGGAGGCAGCAGUGGGGAAUAUUGCACAAUGGGGGCAAUCCUGAGGCAGCCAUGCCGCGUGUGUGAAGAAGGCCUUCGGGUUGUAAAGCACUUUCAGCGAGGAGGCGUUACUAGCAGAAGAAGCACCGGCUAACUCCGUGCCAGCCGCCGCGGUAAUAC
rnacentral:rRNA from 1 species